AGAGUUUGAUCAUGGCUCAGAUUAAACGCUGGCGGCAUGCCUUACACAUGCAAGUCGAACGGCAGCACGGGAGCUUGCUCCUGGUGGCGAGUGGCGAACGGGUGAGUAAUACAUCGGAACGUACCCUGAAGUGGGGGAUAACGUAGCGAAAGUUACGCUAAUACCGCAUAUUCUGUGAGCAGGAAAGAGGGGGGAUCGCAAGACCUCUUGCUUUAGGAGCGGCCGAUGUCGGAUUAGCUAGUUGGUGAGGUAAAGGCUCACCAAGGCGACGAUCCGUAGCGGGUCUGAGAGGAUGAUCCGCCACACUGGGACUGAGACACGGCCCAGACUCCUACGGGAGGCAGCAGUGGGGAAUUUUGGACAAUGGGCGCAAGCCUGAUCCAGCCAUGCCGCGUGAGUGAAGAAGGCCUUCGGGUUGUAAAGCUCUUUCGGUGGGGAAGAAAUUGCUUCGGUUAAUACCUGGAGUAGAUGACGGUACCCGCAUAAGAAGCACCGGCUAACUACGUG
rnacentral:rRNA from 1 species